rnacentral:misc_RNA from 1 species
AACGCACGAGACCUGCGGACCUGCGGAAGGAUCAUUACCGAGCGUUGCCCCCCUGAAAAAUGGGGGGUGCCUCCCGUCCUUUGCAGGCCCCUAGGGGCUCUCGAACCUUCUGCUUCGGCGGGUCCACCCCGCCGGAACACCCUCAGAAAAACUCUUGUUGAAACGGUUCCGUCCGAGAGCUUUUGAAAAAUCUAGCCAAAACUUUCAGCAACGGAUCUCU